rnacentral:rRNA from 1 species
UGAAGAGUUUGAUCAUGGCUCAGAUUGAACGCUGGCGGCAGGCCUAACACAUGCAAGUCGAACGGUAACAGGAAGCAGCUUGCUGCUUCGCUGACGAGUGGCGGACGGGUGAGUAAUGUCUGGGAAACUGCCUGAUGGAGGGGGAUAACUACUGGAAACGGUGGCUAAUACCGCAUAACGUCGCAAGACCAAAGAGGGGGACCUUCGGGCCUCUUGCCAUCAGAUGUGCCCAGAUGGGAUUAGCUUGUUGGUGAGGUAACGGCUCACCAAGGCGACGAUCCCUAGCUGGUCUGAGAGGAUGACCAGCCACACUGGAACUGAGACACGGUCCAGACUCCUACGGGAGGCAGCAGUGGGGAAUAUUGCACAAUGGGCGCAAGCCUGAUGCAGCCAUGCCGCGUGUAUGAAGAAGGCCUUCGGGUUGUAAAGUACUUUCAGCGGGGAGGAAGGUGUUGUGGUUAAUAACCGCAGCAAUUGACGUUACCCGCAGAAGAAGCACCGGCUAACUCCGUGCCAGCAGCCGCGGUAAUACGGAGGGUGCAAGCGUUAAUCGGAAUUACUGGGCGUAAAGCGCACGCAGGCGGUCUGUCAAGUCGGAUGUGAAAUCCCCGGGCUCAACCUGGGAACUGCAUUCGAAACUGGCAGGCUUGAGUCUUGUAGAGGGGGGUAGAAUUCCAGGUGUAGCGGUGAAAUGCGUAGAGAUCUGGAGGAAUACCGGUGGCGAAGGCGGCCCCCUGGACAAAGACUGACGCUCAGGUGCGAAAGCGUGGGGAGCAAACAGGAUUAGAUACCCUGGUAGUCCACGCCGUAAACGAUGUCUACUUGGAGGUUGUGCCCUUGAGGCGUGGCUUCCGGAGCUAACGCGUUAAGUAGACCGCCUGGGGAGUACGGCCGCAAGGUUAAAACUCAAAUGAAUUGACGGGGGCCCGCACAAGCGGUGGAGCAUGUGGUUUAAUUCGAUGCAACGCGAAGAACCUUACCUGGUCUUGACAUCCACAGAAGAAUCCAGAGAUGGAUUUGUGCCUUCGGGAACUGUGAGACAGGUGCUGCAUGGCUGUCGUCAGCUCGUGUUGUGAAAUGUUGGGUUAAGUCCCGCAACGAGCGCAACCCUUAUCCUUUGUUGCCAGCGAUUAGGUCGGGAACUCAAAGGAGACUGCCAGUGAUAAAC